rnacentral:rRNA from 1 species
AUUGAACGCUGGCGGCAGGCCUAACACAUGCAAGUCGAGCGAGCGGCGGACGGGUGAGUAAUGUCUGGGACACUGCCUGAUGGAGGGGGAUAAAUACUGGAAACGGUAGCUAAUACCGCAUACCAUCAGAUGUGCCCAGAUGGGUUGAGUUUGUAGGUGGGGUAACGGCUCACCUAGGCGACGCUCCCUAGCUGGUCUGAGCGGAUUACCAGCCACACUGGAACUGCGACACGGUCCAGACUCCUACGGGAGGCAGCAGUGGGGAAUAUUGCACAAUUGGCGCAAGCCUGAUGCAGCCAUGCCGCGUGUAUGAAGAAGGCCUUCGGGUUGUAAAGUACUUUCAGCGGGGAGGCGUUACCCGCAGAAGAAGCACCGGCUAACUCCGUGCCAGCAGCCGCGGUAAUAC